AUUGAACGCUGGCGGCAUGCUUUACACAUGCAAGUCGAACGGUAACAGGGUGCUUGCACCGCUGACGAGUGGCGAACGGGUGAGUAAUGCGUCGGAACGUGCCGAGUAGUGGGGGAUAACGCAGCGAAAGUUGUGCUAAUACCGCAUACGUACUGAGGUAGAAAGUGGGGGACCUUCGGGCCUCACGCUAUUCGAGCGGCCGACGUCUGAUUAGCUAGUAGGUGAGGUAAAGGCUCACCUAGGCGACGAUCAGUAGCGGGUCUGAGAGGAUGAUCCGCCACACUGGGACUGGGACACGGCCCAGACUCCUACGGGAGGCAGCAGUGGGGAAUUUUGGACAAUGGGCGAAAGCCUGAUCCAGCCAUGCCGCGUGUCUGAAGAAGGCCUUCGGGUUGUAAAGGACUUUUGUCGGGGAGGAAAUCCCCAGCGCUAAUACCGCUGGGGGAUGACAGUACCUGAAGAAUAAGCACCGGCUAACUACGUGCCAGCCGCCGCGGUAAUAC
rnacentral:rRNA from 1 species